rnacentral:lncRNA from 1 species
GCAGAUAAGCAUGCAGAAAUCUUAUGAAAUAUAGAUUCAUGGAUAGCACAAUAUAGAAAGUUCAUAGCAUUAGCAUUCAAUUGUGCUAAGUCUUUUUUAUUGAUAUUUUGAGAGAGUGUGUGAGGUCCAUUUAUAAUGAUAUUCCACAUUUUAUAGUUUUGUGAUUGAACAAAAAUUUUCAUUCUAGCUUUUCAUUGAAUAUAGUAAGUUCCAUCAAACAGUGGAGGUCUGUUUAUGAAAAGUCCCUCGGCAAAUAAUAUGUUAUGUGGGGUUGUCAUAAUCUUUAGCUCUAGUCGGUUAAGACUAUAAUUAAUAGAAGAGCACCUGCUCUGAUACCACUUGUUGCCCAAGGUGACAACCCAAGA